rnacentral:rRNA from 1 species
AUUGAACGCUGGCGGCAUGCUUUACACAUGCAAGUCGAACGGUAACAGGGAGCCUGCUCCGCUGACGAGUGGCGAACGGGUGAGUAAUGCGUCGGAACGUGCCGAGUAGUGGGGGAUAACGCAGCGACAGUUGUGCUAAUACCGCAUACGUACUGAGGUAGAAAGUGGGGGACCUUCGGGCCUCACGCUAUUCGAGCGGCCGACGUCUGAUUAGCUAGUAGGUGAGGUAAAGGCUCACCUAGGCGACGAUCAGUAGCGGGUCUGAGAGGAUGAUCCGCCACACUGGGACUGAGACACGGCCCAGACCCCUACGGGAGGCAGCAGUGGGGAAUUUUGGACAAUGGGCGAAAGCCUGAUCCAGCCAUGCCGCGUGUCUGAAGAAGGCCUUCGGGUUGUAAAGGACUUUUGUCGGGGAGGAAAUCCCCAGCGCUAAUACCGCUGGGGGAUGACAGUACCUGAAGAAUAAGCACCGGCUAACUACGUGCCAGCCGCCGCCGUAAUAC